rnacentral:lncRNA from 1 species
ACCCGGCCUGACGUGCCCAGAGAAGAGCUCUGUACUCACUUGCUGCCAUGUCAGCUUCAGCCUCUCGGACUGCUCCUUGCCGUCUGCCGAGCAAUCGGCACAAGUAAACCUGAAAAAGUUAUCGCCCUUAAGGUAACUGAGCUGUUCCCUCAGCUGACCUAGGAGAAAAAACAAAAAGUCACAUCACGGAUUUGCCUCGUGCCGUGGAGAUCCAACAGCUCAGUUAACCGACUAGCUCUCCGAGUUUCCCGUGGUAGAUCUUUCUUCUUCUGCAGCCAUCAGGAGAGUAGUGGAGGAGAGAAAGAGAAAAAGGUUGUUUCCCCUUCUGCAGCCAGGUGCCUGCCUCUCCCAGACCUAAGGCUCCUUAGCUGUUAGGGGGAAGGUCCUGGAAAAGCAGGUAUGGUUGCUCUAGCUGGAUCUCCCAGCAGUCACAUUCCUGACUCCUCUAGGCCAGUCAUCUUCAUUCUUUCAGGGAAUACUCAGCUGGUGCCGCCAGCCACACCAGGCUCGAACUGGAUAUGCAAUGUCUAAGGCAGAUAGGACCCACACAAAGAACACAGUGUUUUUCACAGACUGGAAACAAGCCAUCACAUAGGGAUCAACCAAGCAAAGGAAUCGAGAAGCUCCUUACUGGCUGGGAUCCACUUUUGGCACUUGUCACAGAAGUAAGACAGCUGCUCCUCCAUCCAUGAUAUAUCUCCUUCAUCGCUGUUGAGGGAAUCCCCACUCUGGUCGUGA